rnacentral:rRNA from 1 species
UACGUAGGGCGCAAGCGUUGUCCGGAUUUAUUGGGCGUAAAGAGCUCGUAGGUGGUUCGGUAAGUCGGGUGUUAAACCCCCAGGCUCAACCUGGGGACGCCACUCGAUACUGCUGUGACUAGAGUCCGGUAGGGGAGCGUGGAAUUCCUGGUGUAGCGGUGAAAUGCGCAGAUAUCAGGAGGAACACCAGCGGCGAAGGCGGCGCUCUGGGCCGGUACUGACACUGAGGAGCGAAAGCGUGGGUAGCAAACAGG